AUGAACGCUGGCGGCAGGCUAAUACAUGCAAGUCGAACGGUAACGACCGGUAGCAAUACUGGGGCGACGAGUGGCGCACGGGUGCGUAACGCGUAUGCAACCUACCCUCAACCGGGGCAUAACGCCGAGAAAUUGGCGCUAAUAUCCCAUGUGUAUGUGAGACGGCAUCGUCUUAUAUAUAAAGAUCCGUUGGUUAAGGAUGGGCAUGCGUAACAUUAGCUGGUUGGCGGGGUAACGGCCCACCAAGGCGACGAUGUUUAGGGGUUCUGAGAGGAUUCACCCCCACACUGGAACUGAGACACGGUCCAGACUCCUACGGGAGGCAGCAGUAGGGAAUAUUGGGCAAUGGAGGCAACUCUGACCCAGCCAUGCCCGCGUGAAGGAAGACGGCCCUAUGGGUUGUAAACUUCUUUUGCCGCAGAGUAACCCGGGGACGAGUCCCCCGCUGAGAGUAUGCGGCGAAUAAGUAUCGGCUAACUCCGUGCCAGCCGCCGC
rnacentral:rRNA from 1 species